GACAGAGGGGGCAAGCGUUGCUCGGAAUUACUGGGCGUAAAGGGCGCGUAGGCGGAUAGUUAAGUUGGGGGUGAAAGCCCGGGGCUCAACCUCGGAAUUGCCUUCAAUACUGGCUAUCUUGAGUACGGGAGAGGUGUGUGGAACUCCGAGUGUAGAGGUGAAAUUCGUAGAUAUUCGGAAGAACACCAGUGGCGAAGGCGACACACUGGCCCGUUACUGACGCUGAGGCGCGAAAGCGUGGGGAGCAAACAGG
rnacentral:rRNA from 1 species